AUGCUCGCUUUGGCAGCACAUGGACUAAAAGUGGAACGAUACAGAGAUCAGCAUGGCCCCUGCGCAUGGAUAACAGACAAAUUCGUGAAGUGUUCCACAUUUUA
ensembl:snRNA U6 U6 spliceosomal RNA